GUGCGCGUGCCUCCGCAUUCGUCUUGGCGAUCACGAUCAACCGCUCGGCGGGCGAAGUGAGCCGUGCUACCGACCAAUCAUCGACGAGGGCAUCGACGGCGGACUUUAGCUGGUCGUGGAGAUCGAUCAGACCGCGCUCAUGAAACGCCGCCAAGCCCGACUCGGCGUCGCCGCGCGCAAAGGCAAGGACGGCCUCGCGUGCCCAGGGUUCGAUGAAUCUGAGACAGGCUGACCGCGCCAAUCGCGUCGCGAACGAGACGAAUGGAAUGGCCCGGACCGACCGGCCUCAGUUGCCUAUCGUCCCCCACCA
rnacentral:misc_RNA from 1 species